GACGAACGCUGGCGGCGUGCUUAACACAUGCAAGUCGAACGAUGAAGCCGGAGCUUGCUCUGGUGAAUUAGUGGCGAACGGGUGAGUAACGCGUGAGUAACCUGCCCUUGACUCUGGGAUAACUGCGGGAAACUGUAGCUAAUACCGGAUACGACCCUCGGAGGCAUCUCCUGGGGGUGGAAAGAAUUUCGGUCAAGGAUGGACUCGCGGCCUAUCAGCUAGUUGGUGAGGUAAAGGCUCACCAAGGCGACGACGGGUAGCCGGCCUGAGAGGGUGACCGGCCACACUGGGACUGAGACACGGCCCAGACUCCUACGGGAGGCAGCAGUGGGGAAUAUUGCACAAUGGGCGCAAGCCUGAUGCAGCAACGCCGCGUGAGGGAUGACGGCCUUCGGGUUGUAAACCUCUUUUAGUAGGGAAGAAGCGAAAGUGACGGUACCUGCAGAAAAAGCACCGGCUAACUACGUGCCAGCCGCCGCCGAAA
rnacentral:rRNA from 1 species